rnacentral:rRNA from 1 species
UUAAAUUAAUAAAAAAAAAUUUUAGUAGUAUUAGUUAUAUUCUUGAAACUUAAAAAAUUUGGCGGUAUUUUAUUCUGAUUAGAGGAAUCUAUUUUAUAAUUGAUAAUUCACAAUAAAUUUUACUUAAUUUUAUUAAUUUGUAUAUCGUUGUCAUAAGAAUAUCUUAGUAGAGAAAUAAUUUUCUUAAUAAAUUAAUAUUUAAAAUGUCAAAUCAAGGUGCAGUUUAUAAUUAAGAAAAAAUGGAUUACAAUAAAAUUAUUUAUAUGAAUUUUAAAUUAUAUAAUUUAAAUGAAAGUGGAUUUAUUAGUAAAUUUUAAUAGAUUUUAAAAUUGAUUUAAGUUUUAAAAUGUGU